rnacentral:tRNA from 1 species
GAGGGUAACAGCUCAGUGGUAGAGUGCAUGCUUAGCAUGCACAAGGUCCUGGGUUCAAUCCCCAGUACCUCCU